ACCGAUGAUGGGGAUUACAACAUCAAGCUGCGCAAUUUGACCCGAUUCCUGGAUGAGGACGGCGAUAAAGUCAAAAUCACCCUGCGUUUCCGCGGUCGUGAAAUGGCUCACCAGGAUAUCGGUGUGCGCAUGCUUGAGCGUCUGAAGCAAGAUCUGGAGCCGUACGGACAGGUCGAGCAGUGGCCGAAGAUGGAAGGGCGUCAGAUGAUCAUGAUCAUUGGCCCUAAGAAGAAAAAAUAAUAACAAAUUGGGGAAAGAGUUUAAGAGCCGGGGCGAAUUACCCUUGUCCGGGCGACUCUGUCCUCAACUGAUCAAGUUUUGUGGUGGCAUGCAGGUUUAC
rnacentral:misc_RNA from 1 species